CAGUGGGCUCUGAUUUCAAUGGAAAUCCCCCCAUGAAUAAACGUGUCUCGAAUCUCAAAGGGCACAAUAAAUCAGAAGAUUUAUGGACUGUAAACAGUCAUGGCCUGAUAUUCCAAUCUGCACGUGGAGUACCUGGGGCCAGGUACACAGCCUUUUGGCUGGACUGGAAACAGUCACCUGGUUGCUGUAUUGUGUUUUAUUUGUUUGUUUGCCUCAGUGAAAGAAUUUUAGUAGCUCUGGUAAUCAACAAGAUGCAACCAUCCCUGCUCUCCGGUUCUUCCCUAUGCAAUUCAUGAGCAACAAGCCUCCCCAGUGAAAGGCAGCACAGCAAUGCCAGGCCAAUGUGCAGCCAAGAAAUAAGUGAGCCCUGCUGGUGGUGGCGUCUGGGAGCUGUUCUCUGUAGCACAGGGGAUGCGCGGAAACACACCUGCACUCGUGACAGCCAGCAGCCCUCCCCCCUUCCGUGAACUCAAACCGGCAACCCUGUUUGCACCCGCAACCCUGCAGAGCUUCUGGAAAGCAGCAGCGUGUGGAAGAAGGCAAAGGGCUGGUGCAAACCACAGGAAACACCUUCCCUGGACCAACCACCACCACACCUGCAGCCUCCGCCCCUACCUGCCUGCCUAGAGGACCGCUCAAGGGAGGGCUGGGGAUCGGUGAACCGCUAGCAGGAGGAAGCUAGGGCAGCCCCGGUGGCUCAGCGGUUUAGCGGUUAAGCACUGCCUUCGGCCCAGGGCGUGAUCCUGGGGA